AAAUCAACAUUAUUCUAUAUUUCACUCUAUUAUAGAGUGAACCAUUGGAACAAAUUUAAUUUUAUAAUAGAGUUACUCUAUUUUAGAAUGAAAUAUAGAGAAAAAUUUUGUGUACCAUUGGAAAUGCUCUAAGAGUAGGUUUAGGUGGUGUGUCUACAGGGGCAGAGCUAGAGAAAAAAAUUGUGGGGAGCAAAAUAAAAUUAUGCAUAGAACUAAAGAGAAGUUUGUUAAAAGAUAGGGGACAAAAUGAAAACUAGUCAAUAUUUUACACUGAAUCUUUAAAAUGAGUUAGGGGCAGCUGCCCCCCUGUUAUUCAAUGUAGCUCCGCCACUGUGUGUCUAUAUGGAAAAUCGGUUUUAACCAAAUUUUUUUUAAAAAAAUCAAUUUAUAUGAUUCAAAUCAAUUUAAAAUAUUUUUAAUCAAUUUGAAUUGAUCAAAAUUAAUUUAAAUAUGUUAAAUUAAUGUAAUAAUAUUAUCUAAUUUUUUGUGUUAUAUAUCUAAUUUUGAUAAUUCAUCAAAAUAGUUUUAUAAAUAAACACAAAACUAAAUAUUUUAAAUAAAUGUAAAAAAUAUAUAUAAUAUAAAUCACAUAGUCGCUAAUCUUCUAUAAAAUGUCUAGUCACAAUCUAAGUAUUUUUGAACAUAGCGAUUAACAAAUAAAAUUUAGUUUACUAAUUCUAAUUCGAUCAAAGUUUCAACCAUGAUACAAAUUUAAAGAAAGGAAUAUAAUGAAUUAUGAUAUGGUACAUUUUCAGUUCCAUUUUUUUGUUAGUAUAAUUUUUUUGGUUAUUUAUCACUUAUAAACUGAUGAUUAAAAAUAAUCAAUGAUAGCUGCAAAAAACAACUGUGAAAAUGACAAAAUGGGCUACAAAAAAAAAUAGAAUGAGCUGUUUCCUUAUUUUCUAUGAGUUCUUACAGUUUUUAAGCUAUUUCAUUAAAUUUAAAAAUACUUUCGGUUUUAUGAAUUGUUGUAAUAAGUUCUUUUCUUUUUUUCGUUUAAGUUAUAUGAGUUUUUCAGUCAGAUUUUCUAGACUCUUCUACAAUCUUUCAAUCAGACUUCACUUUGUAUACUCUCAAAUUAGAGUCUUUCUACCAUUUUUGUAACUGCAUGAAAUUUGUGGUCCAAAAUUUCUUUUGUUUUAAAGGGAAAGUCCAGUAAAUCAAGAGCCCGUAAAGAUUAAACCUAGGUUAUCUCUUGUUUUUAUAUAAGUAAGGAGCCUUUAUCUCUCUUCUCUCCCAUCACAAAUCCAUAACGAAACUUUAUAGAGAUCCAAAAAAGAUUGAAAAUCUUAACUGUGAAGAUUUCUCUGUUCUCUCUCUCUCUCUCUCUCUCUCUCUCUCUCUCUCUCUCUCUCUCUCUCUCUCUCUCUCUCUCUCCUCAUCGCCGAUCUCUCUCUCUCUUUCCUCGUCUGUUGCGAUUUUCCACAGCGGGAAGUAGUCGGCCGUCGUCCUCCUUGCCACCAGCAGUGUGGUGUGUGUCAUUUGUUGCUUGAUCUCUUGUUUCAGAUCAAUCAGAUAUACCUCUAAGUAAGGUGUUUUGAACCCAGUUUAUUCUAAGGUAUCUUGUUUGGUGUUGGCAUUGUGAUUGGUUAGUUAUGUUUAUUGUUAGGAUGAUAAAACAUAAUAGAUGUUACGAUGUUAGAUGCAUAUUACAUCUUGCAUAAGAACGCUCAUAUUGUUAGAAGAUUUAAUGGACUUGUUUGGUUAAUGUGGGAGAUUGAUUGAUUGUUGUUUGAUUGUUUGUUAUGACUGUUUGAUAUGAUUGUUUGUUAUGACUGGCUAAGUUGCUAGAAGGAAUCGAAUGAUAGGUUAAUAUAUGGAUGAUUGAACAUCAAUCUGAACGAUGUGUCAUGCAAGUUGAAUUGUGUAUGGCCCGAGAAUGGGUGACAUCUAGAAUAGAGCAGUUUGUAUGAUUGGGAGUCAAUAAGAAUGAAUGAUGAUAAGAAUAUUGUGAUUUUUCCUUUAUAAUGUGUAUUUGUUAUUUAUUUAUAAAGAUUUACUGAUUAUAUUUAAUUAAUAUUAAAAUUAAAAACUUAUAUAUAUAUAUAUGAGAUUUGGAAAACACACAUUCUUAGAAUGAGAUUUUUGUUGGAGAUUUUUUACAUAUCUCUAUAUAUUUAUUUCUAUAAUACAAGAGGUAAAUUAUUUUAGCCCACCCUUAUCUUUCAUCUAAAAUAUAAACUAUUAUUUUUUAUUUAGAGAAAGAAAUGUCAUUCCUCUAUGUUUAAUUUUUAAAAAAAUGCAGACAUUAACAUUUUAUAAUUAAUUAUUAAUACAUACAUUACUAAUUAAAAGACUAUAAUAAUAAAUUAUUAUUUAUGUUUUCAUUUGGACAUUCUUACGUAAUAUUAUUAUUAUUUUUAAAAAAUCUUUGUAUACUACAUUCUUCAUUCAUAAAUAAAUCUUAGAAAUCACUCAAUAUUAUCUUUUCAGUUAUACAAAAUUUACAAUUUUACUUGAUUAAUACUUAGUUAUGUGUUUUUUUGUUUUUAAUUUUAAACUUUAUAUUAGAAGAUAUUUUUGAAUAACAACACAAUAUUAUAAGAAUUAUCUUUUUUAUUUUAAAACAUACUUUUUAGAUUUUGGAUCAUUCUUAUUAUUAUUAAUUUUUAUAAAUUAUCUUAUCAAAAGAAAAUUGAAUUCGUUUUUGGUUUUAGCUGAUUUAUAUAUUUUAUUUAUUAAAGACAUAAACGAUUUUGAUCACUCUAACUUUUAAAAAGUUUUUUGUAUACUACAGUUUUUAUUCAUAAAUAAAUCUUAUAAAUCACUCAAUAUUAUCUUUUCAAUUAUACAAAAUUUAGAAUUUUACUUCAUUAAUAUUUAGUUAUGCGUUUUUUGUUUUUUGUUUUGUUUUUUAUUAGAAGAUAUUUUUGAAUAACAACACAAUAUUAUAGGAAUUAUAUUUUUAUUUUAAAACAUACUUUUAUAUUUUGGAUAAUUCUUGUUAUUAUUAAUUUUAAUCAAUUAUCUUAUAAAAAAUUGUUUUUUUGUUUUAGCUAAUUUAUAUAUUUUAUUCAUUAAGAACAUAAACGAUAUUAACCACUCUAACUUUUAACGUAAGAGAUCGAAUGCAAAAAAAUCAUUUCGCAAAUAAUAGUAUAGAUUAAAAAUGUUAUUUUGAAAAUCUAUAUUGGAGUAUAUUUUAUUUUCAUUUUAGCGUAUAUUUUAGAAAAAGAUAAGAAAAUAUAUAAAAAAUAGUUUUGUAGAGCUAUAAAAUUUAGUUUUAUUUAUUUUUUAGAUGGAGUUCUUAUUUUAUGUUUUCAGUACUUUUUGACUCCUACAAAAGUCAGGAUCAACCAAUAAGAUCGCCGCACUUGUUAAGCUCCGGCAACUGUGCGUACAGCGUAGAGACCAACUCCGUCGUGCUGACAUGUCGAAACUCUUUACAAGAACUCAAAAGAUUCCCCAAAACCGAAUCCGAAGACUCACUUCUCAAACCCACGCGUCUGUUCACAUCGUCCAUUAACCUCAAAACUGAAUCUUUCUCAAACCGGUACAAGACCUUGGACCAUGCGUCCGAGGACCAUGCACGUAGCUCGGUCUCCUCGAUGUUACCAUUAAGAACAGCAAGAGAGGAUAUGGCCGUUGCAUGAUCGCCUUUCUCGAGCUUCCUGCAGAAUCUCUCUUUGAUUAGAGGCGAAGGCGGAAUCCUAUUACUCCGUCUCAGAUGUUCCCAUGUCGCUUCCAUCACUUCUUCCUGUCCUGCUCUGCUAGCUUCAAGAACCAUUUUGAGAUGACGUUUGGCAUUGAAAUGGUAUCCGUGACGCAACAUCUCCCUAUACGCAUAACCAAAAUCAUCCCACUUUUUAUGUUCAGCGCAAGCUUCUAGCAUUGUGUUGAAAGUAUACGUGUCUGGCAACACUCUCGAUUCGAAA